AUUUGACCUCCUAUGUUUCAAUUUCUACACAUUAUGGUUUCAUUGACUCAUGCCCACCAAGUGUUUGAUUAAAUGUCUUUUCUAUUAGAUAGGUUUUAGUUGAUGCAAUUUCUUUAAUUUAAUUCCAUGUAAUGCUUGUUAGUUUAGUUAUUUUGUUUCCACGAUGCUUGUUCUUAUAUUAAUUUGACCUCCUAUGUUUCAAUUUCUACACAUUAUGGUUUCAUUGACUCAUGCCCACCAAGUGUUUGAUUAAAUGUCUUUUCCAUUAGAUAGGUUUUAGUUGAUGCAAUUUCUUUAAUUUAAUUCCAUGUAAUGCUUGUUAGUUUAGUGAUUUUGUUUCCACGAUGCUUGUUCUUCAUUUGGAUGUCAUUAGGUUAGACUAGUUUCCACUUCCACCGGUCCUGAAUAACCUUCUAGUUCACUUGUUCUUAGAUUCUGAGAUCAAUGGAAUGGAAAAGCUAUAAGUUUCUGGUUUUUUGGGUGCACUUCCGCUGGUCCUGAAUAACCUCAUCUGCUGUGUUAUCCCCUAAAAGUGUUAACUUUGAAGUGCAAGCUCUGAUGGGCUUCAAAGUAUCUAUAGAGGAUCCACAUAAUGUUCGAGAGAACUGGGACCAGAUCUCUCUUGUAGAGAACUGGGACCAGAUCUCUGUUGAUUCGUGUAGCUGGACCAUGAUCACUUGCUCAUCUCAAAACCUGGUGAUUUGACUAUAUUUUGAAAGUGAAUGGAGGUAUUAAAAAACUCUAGCUAAAUAGCUCGGGUAUGAAUGAUUACAAGAGCAGCAACUACAUGCUAUGUGAUACUGUAUCCGAACCUCAGGGAUGUGACUGGGAAGUACUUAGAUGAAGAACUAUAAGAAGGCUUUGGGAUUUAAGCGAGAAGAUGGUUAAAGCCAAUGAGUAAAGAACAUUCAAGUCAAGAGGAUAAGUAGCAUCUAUCAAGAUCUUUUAAGUUCAUGCAAUAGAAUGUAGUCGAUAAGAGUAGUUUUGAGUGUCUCCUAAUUAAAAUUUCUUUGUAUGCGAGUAAUUAUGUUUGUUAUAGAAGUGUAAGGAUGAUAAUUUGUAUAAUUAUCUUGAUUGUUUAUUUAAUAAUAUAUUAUUGAUUGAAGUA